rnacentral:rRNA from 1 species
CAGUGCCGCGGGAAUACGUAGGGUGCAAGCGUUAAUCGGAAUUACUGGGCGUAAAGCGUGCGCAGGCGGUUAUAUAAGACAGAUGUGAAAUCCCCGGGCUCAACCUGGGAACUGCAUUUGUGACUGUAUAGCUAGAGUACGGCAGAGGGGGAUGGAAUUCCGCGUGUAGCAGUGAAAUGCGUAGAUAUGCGGAGGAACACCGAUGGCGAAGGCAAUCCCCUGGGCCUGUACUGACGCUCAUGCACGAAAGCGUGGGGAGCAAACAGGAUUAGAUACCCCUGUAGUCCCUGUCUCUUAUACA